rnacentral:rRNA from 1 species
AUUGAACGCUGGCGGCAUGCUUUACACAUGCAAGUCGAACGGUAACAGGCCUUCGGGUGCUGACGAGUGGCGAACGGGUGAGUAAUGCAUCGGAACGUGCCCAGAGGUGGGGGAUAACGCAGCGAAAGCUGUGCUAAUACCGCAUGUGAUCUGAGGAUGAAAGCGGGGGACCAGGCAGCAAUGUUUGGCCUCGCGCCUUUGGAGCGGCCGAUGUCAGAUUUGGUAGUUGGAGGGGUAAAGGCCUACCAAGCCGUCGAUCUGUAGCUGGUCUGAGAGGACGACCAGCCACACUGGGACUGAGACACGGCCCAGCCUCCUACGGGAGGCAGCAGUGGGGAAUUUUCGACAAUGGGCGCAAGCCUGAUCCAGCAAUGCCGCGUGGGGGAAGAAGGCCUUCGGGUUGUAAACCGCUUUUGUACGGAACGAAAAGGCUCUGGCUAAUACCUGGGGCUGAUGACGGUACCGUGAGAAUAAGCACCGGCUAACUACGUG